rnacentral:rRNA from 1 species
CACCGCGGUUAUACGAGAGACCCGAGUUGAUAAGCAUCGGCAUAAAGAGUGGUUAAUUGUACUUAUACUAAAGCCAAACACCUUCAAGGCUGUUAUACGCACCCGAAGGCAGGAAGCCCCUUAACGAAAGUAGCUUUAAUUAAAUAUGAGCCCACGAAAGCUAAGGAA